rnacentral:rRNA from 1 species
UGAGGAAUUUUGCGCAAUGGCCGCAAGGCUGACGCAGCAACGCCGCGUGGGUGAAGAAGGCCUUCGGGUCGUAAAGCCCUGUCAGGUGGGAAGAACACCAUGGGGACGAACAAGCUUCGUGGCUGACGGUACCACCAGAGGAAGCACCGGCUAACUCCGUGCCAGCCGCCGCGGUAAUACGAAGGUCCCAAGCGUUGUUCGGAAUCACUGGGCGUAAAGGGUGCGUAGGCGGUCUUGCAAGUCGGGCGUGAAAUCCCGGGGCUCAACCCCGGAACUGCGCUCGAUACUGCAAGGCUAGAGGACUGGAGAGGAGACCGGAAUUCGUGGUGUAGCAGUGAAAUGCGUAGAUAUCGAGAGGAACACUCGUGGCGAAGGCGAGUCUCUGGACAGUUCCUGACGCUGAGGCACGAAGGCCAGGGUAGCGAAAG